GUAAACUAAGAAAAAUCAUUCCAAAGUACAGACUCGAUCUUGGGUUAACAAACACGUAUUAUAUACAUCGUUUAGCUCAAUAAAUAAAUAGACAAAUAUAAAAACUACUUCAAGUAACUUGCACGUGCUGAACAUCAUCGAUUUUAAGUCUUUUGAGCCCUGAUUUUACAUGGGAAUAAGUAUAAGACAAUAUUGUAAAGAAUACAUAUGCAGAACUGCAUGGAAGAAGGUUAUCACUUUUAACUCGGUUCUUGCGAUUUCAAAAGUUCCACGAUGUGCUGCUUCGUUCCUUUUAUCUUUCUCUUUGUAGAAGCCAGUUUAAUUUUCAUAUUACCUUCUUGGUUAUCUUUUGUACAAGUGGUAUUGCAAGUGUUUUCAGAUUAAAAGCUAAGAGAAAACACCUUUAAAGUUAAAUUCUCAAAUUUUUAAUAUUUAAUCAAUGAUGGACAACAAAAACCAAUAUGAUGAUUAAUUCCUAACAACAAUCUUAUCAUGUCUUUUUAGAAAUAAAAUGAUAUACAGGUAUGGGAAAAAAGACGCAAGAACUACAGGUUAAACUAAUAUAUUUGGGUCAAUGCAUAAUUAUAGGGAAAUCAUUUAUAUGUUAAUGAAUUAAGUAAGAAGUAGAUCUACCUUCAGCAAUUGUGUGCUCUUCUGAUGUUCUCUCGCACACAGUUGGCCGAGUCACAAGGAAUCCCUCGCAGUGGUCACAAAUUAUCUCCCAUUUAAUAGGUGCAAUUUCAUUAAAUGGGUUGCCAGCCUUUGGGUUCUUUUGCCUCAUAUCAGCUGCAUGACCACUGGACACAAAGAGUACAUUGGACAUAUAAAGCUUGUUAGAGAGAUAAAGAUUGAAUGUCACGAUUUUGCAUAUACUGUAUGAAGUUUGUACAUGUAACAAAUAAUUUUUGUUGUCUGACAAAUAUCAAGCAAAGUGGGAAUUCCGGAAUGAGAAUGUUGGCAUUUCUCGUUGUCCACUUUGAGGCGGGUUUGGUAGAACUACUGUUUUCCCUUGCCAACCUGACAUAAUGAAUUUCAAUAUUUCACGAAUUACAUAUUCUAUGCAUUAAUUAAAAAAUUGACAGAUAUGAGAGUACUAAAAUAUUAAUAUAUGUGCUCUUAGAUAUCACAACAAUAAAGUUCAUAUCAUAUGGAAACCUAUAAAAGUAAAUGCACAACAUACAUAUAUAAUUGAUCCCAAUUGCACGAUAGCGCUGAUUCAAAUGGAUCCUCCCUCGAUGUUUUAAUUUAAAUAAGAGGCCGUUUGGAGACAUGCAUUUCAUUUCAAAUGACAAGAUUUAAGUUGUCAUUUCAAACACUCAAAUUUAUACAAAUAUUUGAAUGUCUGGAUUUCAAAUGAAAUCCAAAUCCACAUUCCCAAACAGAUUAUUUGAUCAAAUCCAAAAUUUCAAAUGAAAUCCAAUUUCCCAAACAGGCCAUAAAUGUAAACCAACAAGAUACAAUAAAAUCUUAUCAACAAUAUCUGGAUUCUUAAUGACCAUUAAUCGUUCAAUUUCGAGAUUAUGGCUUCCCUUUAUCAUCUCUCCAAUAAGAGAGAGUAUUUUCAUAGAUAGAGAUCAAAUCCAAAAUUUCAAAUGAAAUCCAAUUUCCCAAACAGGCCAUAAAUGUAAUCCAACAAGAUACAAUAAAAUCUUAUCAACAAUAUCUGGAUUCUUAAUGACCAUUAAUCGUUCAAUUUCGAGAUUAUGGCUUCCCUUUAUCAUCUCUCCAAUAAGAGAAAGUAUUUUCAUAGAUAGAGAUCGAAAUGUGGUUUAGUUUUUCAAUUACCUUCCAUAUUAUAGUACAAGAAAAAGGGCGCUCAAAACUAACACAAAUUACCCACUUAUGUUAUGACAAAAUAUUCCGAUACAGCUAACCAACACAACCAAGGGCACAAUAUAUCAUAGGGUUAGUUACCAGCAUUCAAAACCCAUCAAUAAAUCUGACCACGUAUAUGUUCAAAACAGACAACAAAAAAUUCCGAUCAAGGGCACGAUCUAUCAACAGCAUAUAGCCGACCACUACCAGUUGUCACAUAUAUGUUCAAAACGGACCACAAUUAAAUUGCAUUUAGCUAGUCCAUUAAACAAGCCUUUCAUUACAAAGAUCAGAAUUUUACCCAAUCAGGCAGAUCAUUGUUUUGUUUUUCUGGAGCAUCUUCUUCAUUGUUUACUGCAGGAAGAGAUUUGAUAAUUAGUAUAUUUCAAAUUAGAUAAAUUAACUAUUAAACAAUCAGAAUUGAGAAAUCUAGGGUUUAAAACACAAAAUAUAUACCUGUUUUUAGACUUCGAAACAGAUAGCAUCACGAAACGAUUCAGCACUUUACACUCUAGAUACAUACACACACGAUUAUCAUAGAUCGUUGCGGCGAUGCCCUAAUCUAGGCGAUGCCCUAAUGUAAUUGAGAAGCUGCCGCCUUAACCUACACGACGAGUGAUUUUAUACCUAAAAAUAAAUUGGGUUAACUAAAAGGCCUGGGCUUUCUUAUGAGUAUUGGAUUUUUUCGUGAGUUAUAUAAAAGGUCCAUGUACAUGUCAUACAUAAGUCAUGGGCUUUCUUAUGACUAAUGGACUUUUUCGUGAGUUAUUUUAUAAAGGGUCCAGGUACAUGCUAUACAUAAUUCAGGACCACAGCUUCUUGGCCGUUGGAUCUAGCGAUGAGGAUUAUAACAAAAAUUUGAUAUGUCCGGCGCAAGAAAAAAGACCCUCAACGCUUUUUAACUGUUGGACAGGAAAAAUGACCAUAUCCAUGAUUAAAAAACGCCGGACAUAACUUGUUCCGUGCUUAAAAAAUGCUAUCAUGACUCUUGAAUAUUCAUCGAACGGUCAUAAACCAGUGUGUUGGUUAAGGCUUCCUCGCAUACAUAUGUCAGGGACCAACUCCCUUUAUACAAUGUGUCGGUAGAUAGAGUAACAAAAAUUUGAUAUGUCCGGCGCAAGAAAAAAGACCCUCAACGCUUUUUAACUGUUGGACAGGAAAAAUGACCAUGUCCAUGAUUAAAAAACGCCGGACAUAACUUGUUCCGUGCUUAAAAAAUGCUAUCAUGACUCUUGAAUAUUCAUCGAACGGUCAUAAACCAGUGUGUUGGUUAAGGCUUCCUCGCAUACAUAUGUCAGGGACCAACUCCCUUUAUACAAUGUGUCGGUAGAUAGAGUAGAAAGGCUAGGAUAAAAUAAUGAGAAUUGAGAACAAAUAUGUCAUUGUUAGCUUAGCGUUAAUUGAUUACUUAUAUAAUAAUAAAUAUGUAUAUAAAUCACCCAGUUAAAAUCCGUCAUGUGGUUUGGGAAAAAUAAAAUUGAGGACGAAUUUUGAGGUACAUAGUAUUUUUCCAAUCAAAAUAUCAUUAUUAAAUCAAUAACAAGGAAUUUUUAUCCUCUUAUAUCAAGGUUUAUAGCCUAUUUUUAUAAAUUUGCACAUAAUAAUUAUAUAUAUUUUUUAUACUUUUUAUGAAAUAAAAAGAGUCGCGAAUAUUUUUUGUCGAAAAAUAGUACUCACCGCAGUUAAACACCUCAUCACAAACAGAAAUAUCACAUGAGUACCCGCAAGGGUUAGUUCAGAGGGGACAUGUAUUCUCUUGGUCACACACUCAUAGGUUCGAGUCUCGAAGGGAGCGGGGUUCCUACGUUAAAAAAUAUAUAAAAUAAAAAGUAAAAAAAAUAUCACAUGAGUCAAUAUCCAAAAAUUAUAGUUAAAUUAUACGCAUUUUAACUAGUCUUAAUAAUUUACAAAAAUUAUUUACAAAUUUAUUAUAUAUCAUAAGAUUGAUCCAAGCCAAUGAAGAUAGUUAAGAUGAUUUUGGUAGUAGGUUGAAUAAUAUCAAAUCAUGUUAAAAAAUAACAUUGAAAAAAUUUACGUAUUCAAAUAUAAAUUUUAAAUAGAAAAUACCCGAAUAUCAUGUACUUCGAACCAUAAUCUAAUUCAGGUAAAUAUUUAUUUGGAUAUAAUUGAUUAUGGAUUAUCAUAAAUCUAGUAUUUCGAUUUUAUUUGGGUUAACUUUCCGAUUCACAUAUUUUUUUUAUCAAAUCAAAUCGAUUUUCGAAUUCUAAUCAAAUUUGAUUAUAUUAGAGCAUCUCCAACGACGUUGGUUAUAAUCGCUGGCUAAAUGGGACCUGUAAGACAUUAUGUAAAAUUUACUAAACCUGUAAGACAUUUUCAUUCAGUGGCAUUGGCUAUAUUGGUUGGUUAUAAUUUAAAAAUAGUAUGUUAUUAAUAUUUUAGAUUGUUAAAAUAGAAUAUAUCAGUUCAAUAUGGUAAUAAAUGAUGUGCAAUCUUCCUACAGAUUUUCUUACAGACCUGCAGAGGUUCGACAAAUUUAGGUAUCCAUAAGAGGUUGGCUAAAUUUAUAGACAAUAGCUUAGCAUGGUUGGAGUUGAGUUUUUCGAGCCGUUGACUAAAUUUUUUUAUUUUAAGUAUGCCAAGUCAUCUUUUAGCCAAAGGCUUUUAAUGGUUGGAGAUGCUCUUAUAUUUGAUAUUAGUUUUUAUGUGAUUCUAAUCAGAUUUGGUUUAGAUGGGAUUCACUGUAUUAGUUUAUAUGCGAUUCUAAUAAGAUAUUAAUUAUUAUAUAUUAAUAUAAAAAUUUUAUUAUCCCAUUUUUGAUCACUCAAUGAAAUAACAGUACUAUACCACAAAAUUUAUGGAUAUAUGUAAACAAGCAAAUUAGCUAAAAUAUCUUUGUUCUUUUCUUUUUUGAAAAGUUUGAUAUUGCCAAAUACAAAAUUUCACAACAUUAUUUGGUGAGAUUUACUUAGAUUAACAGUUUUGUUGAUUAAAUCACAACACCAAAAUCAUAACAAAUUAAGGUCAUUUUUGACAAUUUAAAAAACCUUUCAUUUUCUUAAUUAAAACCAACAUUGCCGUGAAUAAAAAUAUUAAAUGAUAAAUAUUUGGUACAGUUAACACAUUAAUAUACAUACGUGCAUAAAUGAAUGUAUAUACAAAUUUCACUAGAAGAUCAUAUCCAUAGUGGCAUCACUCGUUAGCCUGAUAGAUAUCAAUACAAGGACUCACACAUAUUUGAAAAAACAACUUGUAUCUAAGUUGUACUUCUGAGCAGCUUUGGUUGGGCUGAUUUGCCAAGCUACCUUUCGAAACUUCUUGAUUCCGAAGUUAUAUUUUCCUCGGGCAUUCCAUAACAGCAACAUUCCAAAGACUCGAAGACAGAAAAAAUUGCAGACCUUGCUGGUAAAAAAUUGGUAAACUAAGAAAAAUCAUUCCAAAGUACAGACUCGAUCUUGGGUUAACAAACACGUAUUAUAUACAUCGUUUAGCUCAAUAAAUAAAUAGACAAAUAUAAAAACUACUUGAAGUAACUUGCACGUGCUGAACCAUCGAUUUUAAGUCUUUUGAGCCCUGAUUUUACAUGGGAAUAAGUAUAAGACAAUAUUGUAAAGAAUACAUAUGCAGAACUGCGUGGAAGAAGGUUAUCACUUUUAACUCGGUUCUUGCGAUUUCAAAAGUUCCACGAUGUGUUGCUUCGUUCGUUUUAUCUUUCUCUUUGUAGAAGCCAGUUUAAUUUUCAUAUUACCUUCUUGGUUAUCUUUUGUACAAGUGGUAUUGCAAGUGUUUUCAGAUCAAAAGCUAAGAGAAAACACCUUUAAAGUUCAAAUCUGAAAUUUUUAAUAUUUAAUCAAUGAUGGACAACAAAAACCAAUAUGAUGAUUAAUUCCUAUCAACAAUCUUAUCAUGUCUUUUUAGAAAUAAAAUGAUAUACAGGCAUGGGAAAAAAGACGCAAGAACUACAGGUUAAACUAAUAUAUUUGGGUCAAUGCAUAAUUAUAGAUAAGGGAAAUCAUCUAUAUGUUAAUGAAUUGAGUAAGAAGUAGAUCUACCUUCAGCAAUUGUGUGGUCUUCUGAUGUUCUCUCACACACAGUUGGCCGAGUCACAAGGAAUCCCUCGCAGUGGUCACAAAUUAUCUCCCAUUUAAUAGGUGCAAUUUCAUUAAAUGGGUUGCCAGCCUUUGGGUUCUUUUGCCUCAUAUCAGCUGCAUGACCACUGGACACAAAGGGUACAUUGGACAAUGGACAUAUAAAGCU
rnacentral:lncRNA from 1 species